rnacentral:rRNA from 1 species
UACGUAGGGGGCUAGCGUUGUCCGGAAUCAUUGGGCGUAAAGAGCGUGUAGGCGGCCCGGUAAGUCCGCUGUGAAAGUCGGGGGCUCAACCCUCGGAUGCCGGUGGAUACUGUCGGGCUCGAGUACGGAAGAGGCGAGUGGAAUUCCUGGUGUAGCGGUGAAAUGCGCAGAUAUCAGGAGGAACACCUAUUGCGAAGGCAGCUCGCUGGGACGUUACUGACGCUGAGACGCGACAGCGUGGGGAGCAAACAGG